AUCCCUGUAGCGCAAUAGAUAGCACGUUGGACUUCUAAUCCAAAGGUCGUGGGUUCGAAUCCUACCUGGGAUG